rnacentral:rRNA from 1 species
AUUGAACGCUGGCGGCAGGCCUAACACAUGCAAGUCGCACGAGUGGCGGACGGGUGAGUAAUGUAUGGGAAACUGCCUGAUGGAGGGGGAUAACUACUGGAAACCGUAGCUAAUACCGCAUACCAUCAGAUGGGCCCAGAUGGGAUUAGCUAGUUGGUGGGGUAACGGCUCACCAAGGCGACGAUCCCUAGCUGGUCUGAGAGGAUGACCAGCCACACUGGAAAUGAGACACGGCCCAGACUCCUACGGGAGGCAGCAGUGGGUAAUAUUGCACAAUGGGCGCAAGCCUGAUGCAGCCAUGCCGCGUGUAUGAAGAAGGCCGUCGGGUUGUAAAGUACUUUCAGCGGGGAGGCGUUACCUGCAGAAGAAGCACCGGCUAACUCCGUGCCAGCAGCCGCGGUAAUUC